GCAGUCGCCACGGUAAUGCGUAGGUGGCAAGCGUUGUCCGGAAUUAUUGGGCGUAAAGGGCUCGCAGGCGGUUUCUUAAGUCUGAUGUGAAAGCCCCCGGCUCAACCGGGGAGGGUCAUUGGAAACUGGGAAACUUGAGUGCAGAAGAGGAGAGUGGAAUUCCACGUGUAGCGGUGAAAUGCGUAGAGAUGUGGAGGAACACCAGUGGCGAAGGCGACUCUCUGGUCUGUAACUGACGCUGAGGAGCGAAAGCGUGGGGAGCGAACAGGAUUAGAUACCCCGGUAGUCCCUGUCUCUUAUA
rnacentral:rRNA from 1 species